UUCCCAUCUUCACUCCCAUCAUGUGAUUCACAGAGACAUUAAGGGACAAAAUGUUUUGCUCACGGAGAAUGCCGAAGUCAAGCUGGUUGAUUUUGGGGUGUCGGCCCAGCUGGAUAAGACGAUCGGGCGGAGGAACACCUUCAUCGGAACUCCCUACUGGAUGGCUCCGGAGGUCAUCGCCUGCGACGAGAACCCUGACGCUGCCUAUGACUACAGGAGUGACCUCUGGUCUUUAGGCAUCACUGCUCUGGAGAUGGCUGAAGGAGCCCCUCCUCUGUGUGACAUGCAUCCAAUGAGAGCGCUGUUUCUGAUACCACGAAACCCUCCACCCAAACUAAAAUCAAAGAAAUGGU